rnacentral:piRNA from 1 species
UGAGCUUCAAUUUGAAUGUCAGAUUCUCA